GAUCGCCCUCAGCCGUAGAGGUUGAAGCACCUCCACUGCCAACAUGAAGCUGAUUUCCUUGUUGAUGGCCAUGGUUGUGGCCCUGUCCUGCUUCAUGGGAUCUGCUCUUGCCAUGCCCGAGCCCUAUGCCCUCCCUGACGCUGACUUUGUGACGGAGGCCAUCUCCGACUGACGCAACCAUGCCCACUUCGAAAAGCUUUUCCCCUGGCACAAAGCAAUCACAGAGUGCAGUGCAAAAGCCCUCAUUGCCCCCAAUAAGGGUUUCUCUUUAUUUCGCUCUCUGCUUAUGUCUGUAAAGGUACCGAUACCAUUCUGGAAACUAGUGGAAACUGAAUUUUCUACUUUCGUUCGUGAUGACUUCUUAACGAUACUAGCUUAAUACUCAAAAUGUAUCUUACGAAAAAAAAAUGGAAUUGCUGCUUCUUUCCAAAUUGAAAGGUGUGUAAGAACAGUCUUUGUUUCAUUUCUUAUAUGCAAUUACUGGGCUAUAACAAUCUUACUAUCAGCAUUAUGUAUAUCUAGUAAAGAAUUCGGGAGUCGGCCCUGAGGAAAAAUCCGGAGCUGGAGUCCUUAAGUCAGUUCAUUGGCGCUUACCACCUUGUUCUUGUAACUCAUACGACGCUGUAAUGAACCCUUCUUUUCAAUAUAAUUUUAACAAAUAAACGAA